rnacentral:rRNA from 1 species
CAGUCGCCACGGUAAUACAGAGGGUGCGAGCGUUAAUCGGAUUUACUGGGCGUAAAGCGUGCGUAGGCGGCUUCUUAAGUCGGAUGUGAAAUCCCUGAGCUUAACUUGGGAAUUGCAUUCGAUACUGGUUAGCUAGAGUGUGGGAGAGGAUGGUAGAAUUCCAGGUGUAGCGGUGAAAUGCGUAGAGAUCUGGAGGAAUACCGAUGGCGAAGGCAGCCAUCUGGCCUAACACUGACGCUGAGGUACGAAAGCAUGGGGAGCAAACAGGAUUAGAUACCCCCUAGUCCCUGUCUCUUAUACA